rnacentral:rRNA from 1 species
UACGGGGGGGGCAAGCGUUGUUCGGAAUUACUGGGCGUAAAGGGCUUGUAGGUGGCCAACUAAGUCAGACGUGAAAUCCCUCAGCUUAACUGGGGAACUGCGUCUGAUACUGGAUGGCUUGAGUUUGGGAGAGGGAUGCGGAAUUCCAGGUGUAGCGGUGAAAUGCGUAGAUAUCGAAAGGAACACCUGUGGCGAAAGCGGCUCACUGGACCAUUACUGACGCUGAUGCACGAAAGCUAGGGGAGCAAACAGG